UACGUAGGGGCUAGCGUUAUCCGGAAUUACUGGGCGUAAAGGGUGCGUAGGUGGUUUCUUAAGUCAGAGGUGAAAGGCUACGGCUCAACCGUAGUAAGCCUUUGAAACUGGGAAACUUGAGUGCAGGAGAGGAGAGUGGAAUUCCUAGUGUAGCGGUGAAAUGCGUAGAUAUUAGGAGGAACACCAGUUGCGAAGGCGGCUCUCUGGACUGUAACUGACACUGAGGCACGAAAGCGUGGGGAGCAAACAGGAUUAGAUACCACGGUAGUCCCUGAG
rnacentral:rRNA from 1 species